GAACCAUAGCUCAGUUGCAGAGCAUCUGCCUUGCAUGGAGGCCUCAGGUUCAAUUCCUGGCAUCUCCA